GCCUGCAGACAUCAGAAAUGUGGUUUUGAAUCACAAGAAGAAAUCAAGACUAAUAGUGGAAAAGCCUGAAAUGUCUUGCAUAGAGCUGGACUGUUUGCAGCUCAGGAUGUUUGCCAUCACAACGGCAGAGCCGCAGUUCACACCCAGGCACGUUCUCCCCAAGACCUGUGGCUGCAACCACUGCUAUGCAUGGAAUGUGAGACGGACGGUGCUCGCCUAGCCAACAGUUGAUGCUGAAUACAUCUUCAUCUGUGUAUUGACCAUCUACCCUUUUCCCAUGAUUUGUUUGUCAAAAUUCCUUGCUAAUUUCCUUAUUAAAAAUGGUCAGUAUUUUAAUUCUCCUGAUUCAUGAUAAUUUCUUUGACAAGGAAAUUAAUACUUUGUUAAAUGAGUACAAAUAUUUUUAAACAAUCUGUUUUACUUUUAAUCUUUGUUUAUGGUGAUAUUUUGGGCAUACAAAGGUCUUUAAUAUCCAUGUUAUUAAAUUCACAAAUAUUUCCCUUUGUGGAUUUUGGGUUUCAGUUUAUAAUUCUAAACAUAUUCUCCACUCCAUGAUUACAAAAUAAAAAUAAAACAACACUGGUAUUUUAA
rnacentral:lncRNA from 1 species